UACGUAGGGUGCAAGCGUUGUCCGGAAUUAUUGGGCGUAAAGCGCUCGUAGGCGGUUUGUCGCGUCUGCUGUGAAAACCCAGGGCUUAACCCUGGGCCUGCAGUGGGUACGGGCAAACUAGAGUGCGGUAGGGGAGAGCGGAAUUCCUGGUGUAGCGGUGAAAUGCGCAGAUAUCAGGAGGAACACCGGUGGCGAAGGCGGGUCUCUGGGCCGAAACUGACGCUGAGGAGCGAAAGCGUGGGGAGCAAACAGG
rnacentral:rRNA from 1 species